GUGAGUCACAGAGAGUAAAGUGGUCCCGACUGGUCCUGGCUAACACCACCAUGCUAACCCUGAUAACUGCUAAAGUUACCGACAGACAAGGGUCACGGCUGUUUACAAUGUGUAGUCUGUUCAGUGGCCGUAGCCGUCAAGGGUGAGUUUUUUUAUGCCAAGAGAGGGGGGCUGUAAAUCGGGAAGAAAGGACCGUGAGUUUGCAGUGCGUUCAGCGAGUGUUUCCAUAAUUCUGAGCCAAUAAAGUGUGUUCAGUCGGGUGGAGAGGAUGGCACGGUAGUGUUAUUUUUAGCAGUUCUCGCCUCAAG